UACAGAGAGUGCGAGCGUUAAUCGGAAUUACUGGGCGUAAAGCGCGCGUAGGCGGCUUUGCAAGUCGGUUGUGAAAUCCCCAGGCUUAACCUGGGAACUGCAUUCGAGACUGCAUUGCUAGAGUAUGGGAGAGGGAAGUGGAAUUUCCGGUGUAGUGGUGAAAUGCGUAGAUAUCAGGAGGAAUACCGAUGGCGAAGGCAGGUCUCUGGGUUAACACUGACGCUCAUGCACGAAAGCGUGGGGAGCAAACAGG
rnacentral:rRNA from 1 species